GAAGGGAGGACGAGGAGGCGCCGUUACAGAAGAAACCAGGAGAACUGCAGAGGUGAGCAGCCCUGGGCAAGGGCAGGUGCCCUGCAAAGACACCGCCUGGCUACAUGUGCCAGCUGCCCUACCAGGGGCUCCCAGUCCACUGACUCUCUGUCUUCUCUGCCAACAGUUUGGGAUGUCCAUGACUCUUCACAGCCCUCAAGAAAGCCGUAAGUGGAGCCAUUCCCCCUGGAGCGUGACAGCCUUCUCUGCUCAACCCCACCAAAGGAGGUCCCACUAAUGCUGUGCUUUGCCCCUCCACAGAUGUCCCAAGCACCCGGAGCUGGAUGGUGUGCCUAGAUUAGCCCAACUGUUCAACACGAUCCUCGAGGACCUCAACAGAUACAUUGAAAUGUACAACUUCGAGAUUACUGAGGGCACUGAUGACUCCCUCAGUCCCAUCAGUACAACGGAAACCAGCUCCUCUUCAGGGAUGUCUCUGUCUUCUGGGAGAAAGAACUCAUGCACUUCUGUCGUCAAAAUGGGAGCCCCCUGCUCUUCGAAGGCCUCUCUGUCAUCUUGUAGCAAUGUAUCCCUCACUUCCGUUUUGGACAUGGAACCCUGCUGCUCUUCAAGGGACUCCCUUUCUGCUUGGAGUGACAACUCCCUCGCUGCCAUUGUGGCAACAAAAGACAGUGGCUCUUCAGAGGCCCCUCUGACCCCAUGCAAGGACGACUCCCACACUUACACCAGGGUGAGUGAAGGUGCUUCACAGCUGUCACUCACAGCUCUUCUGGACGGAGCAGACAUGGUUCAAGCUUCCACGGUCCAGCCUUGUCUGCUUCCCAGUACUGUCCCAGAGGAGCAGCAUGACAUGGGCACUCACCCAUCCUGCACGAAAGAGGUGGCCAGCUGCCACAGGGCCGACAGAGUGCAGCAGCAACAGAAACAACUCCGGGACCAGCAGGGUGCUCCCACCCCACCUCCACUGGUGCCUGAUUCCCAGUCCAGGGAAACGGAGGUGCAACAGAAACACCUCCAGGACCAGCAGGGUGCUCCCACCCCACCUCCACUGGUGCCUGAUUCCCAGUCCAGGGAAACGGAGGUGCCUUUACCACAUCAAGAAACCCAGGAGACCGUGCACUGCCUUGCCCCAAGAAGGAAAGAAGAGGUGAAACUGGAGCUGCCGACUGAUGGGGUGGGUCCUCAGCAGCAUAGCCCAGCCUCAGUUCCUCAAACGCCUCAGCGACCACCAAAGCCUAAUGUGAUAGUGAUUCCCAUGGUGAAGGACAUACCGUUCCUGGAUGAGGCUGUGAAAAGGCAGCUGGAGCGUCACAUUGUAAAAAGGCAGAUACAGCGGCGCUUUGGACUGCCAACAAAGGUCCUGGCCUAUGAGAAGGACUUCUUAGAACCUCUCCUGGAGCAACAAGAAUCCCAGCCCCUGUCUUUGCAGAGGUGCAUUGGGCAGCCCUACCACUCACCCUUCCAGAAGCGGGACAGGUGCACCACAAAGUCAGCAGUGUGUCCCCCUGGCCUGCAGCAAGAGUCCGCAGCCCGGAAGAAUACAUGCACACGAGGGACACAGACACCUGCCCAGUCUGUGCCAGCAGCUAUUCCAAGAGUGGCACAAGGGAUGCCUCAGAAGGAUGGGAAGAGACCACACUGGAAAAGAGAGUCUGGAGGAACAGCCAGAAGCAGCAGCAUGACCAGCAAGAAGACCUUGCCUUGCACCAAAAAGAAGGAUCAGGGCUCUGGGACACAAAGUGAUGGUCAAGGUACUUCCCCUUCCAUCCAGGAAGAGCAGGCAUCGCCACUGAGCAAGGGAGCUCCCCAGGGGCAAUCAGAACAGGACUGUGUGAGCCCCACCAUCUCCACUGAGACACAAGAAUUGCAACUGGAGAAGAAUGUUCCCACAGGAGAAGCAGAGCACUCCCAGGAAGGCCAGAGUGGCAUCGGUGGGGAUGUGGGGACACCUGAGCUGCCAUCCAACAGGACAUCUCCUUCAAGAAGUAGUCCCCCACAGACACAACAUUGCUCUGAUGGGACACCCUCAGCUCUGCCAAUGCCUCAAGACUCUGCUGGGACCAGUAUUCUGACCCCCUACCUGGAAGAGCUGCUCAUGACACUCAUGGACUGCUACACGGCCAGAACGGCUGCUGAAAACCUGCAGAACCAGCUGCUGGCUUUAUGGCUGGAGAAGAACUCAAGCACGGACCAAGCAGCAAAGCACCCCGUUGCCUCACCACGCAGAAGACCAAAAGAAUCACAGAAGGGCAAGAGGCACACCCAGGGUGGAGCUGGCUCCAGGAGACCCUGCCCCAAGUGCAGCAGUUCCCUGCACCACAACCUGCCUGGCAGCGUUGGCUCCCAGCCUUCAGCUCCAUCUGAGGCUGCAACCCCAGGUGCAGGAAGAAACAGGACAGCAGGAGAGAGGCAUCCACCCAAGGAAAGAGCCAAGAGGAAGCAGGGCCAGAAGGUGACUGCUGCUGACACCCAGCAGCCGGAGGGGAUCCGUGUGUACAGAAAGUUGAUACUGAUCCCUCCAGUUGAGGAGGAGAGGCUUCCAUCCCAGCGAGCCCCUGCCUGGACCCUGCCAUCAGGAACAUGGCAGCUCCCCAGACAUGCAGCAGCCAGACACAGGAAUCAUAGGGCAGAGACACCACCUCUGCCAGGCAGCCUCUGCUGUGUGCUCACCCCCAUCCUCCUUUGCCUUCAGUGUGCCUGGGACACGCUCCGAGAUGCAGGCAAGGCCCUACUUGCCCGCAUCAAGAAGUGAGGUGAGGAGCCUCACGGGAAGAGAACCAACGCUGGAAAGCAGUCUCACCACGGGAUUAGGGGAUUGCUCGGGCUUCCUGCAGAAACAGAAAGCUGCAGCCAUCCCUGCCUGGAGCCACCAGGGAGCAGGAGCUCUCCCAAUAAAUGUGUCUUUCCAAGCA
rnacentral:lncRNA from 1 species